CGCCGGCUCUUCCUGGCAAUUCAGGAGAGGCUGCUGGGACGAAAGGGGUGUGUGUGAACCGUGUGAUGCUGCUACUCAGCCCUUUUCCUACACAACAUGUACUAUGGCACCAAAAGUUCCCUCCUCACGCUUGUUUGGGGAAUGUGCGAGGACCUAGGGACAAGCAGAAGGGCAGGACUUUGAACUGGUAUACAGUUCACUCAAAGGCGAAUCUCAAGAAUGGCCUGUAAGAAGGGACUAUCUGAACAGUAAAGUAUGCACCUUUCCG